rnacentral:rRNA from 1 species
GUGCCAGCAGCCGCGGUAAUACGGAGGGUGCAAGCGUUAAUCGGAAUUACUGGGCGUAAAGCGCGCGUAGGUGGCUUGAUAAGCCGGUUGUGAAAGCCCCGGGCUCAACCUGGGAACGGCAUCCGGAACUGUCAGGCUAGAGUGCAGGAGAGGAAGGUAGAAUUCCCGGUGUAGCGGUGAAAUGCGUAGAGAUCGGGAGGAAUACCAGUGGCGAAGGCGGCCUUCUGGACUGACACUGACACUGAGGUGCGAAAGCGUGUGUAGCAAACAGGAUUAGAUACCCUGGUAGUCCACGCCGUAAACGAUGUCUACCAGCCGUUGGGUGCCUAGAGCACUUUGUGGCGAAGUUAACGCGAUAAGUCGACCGUCUGGGGAGUACGGCCGCAACGUUAAAACUCAAAUGAAUUGACGG